CAGCAGCCACGGUAAUACGUAGGUGGCGAGCGUUGUCCGGAAUUAUUGGGCGUAAAGGGAGCGCAGGCGGACAUAUAAGUCCAUCUUAAAAGUGCGGGGCUCAACCCCGUGAGGGGAUGGAAACUGUAUGCCUUGAGUGUAGGAGAGGAAAGCGGAAUUCCUAGUGUAGCGGUGAAAUGCGUAGAGAUUAGGAGGAACACCAGUGGCGAAGGCGGCUUUUUGGCCUGUAACUGACACUGAGGAGCGAAAGCGUGGGGAGCGAACAGGAUUAGAUACCCGCGUAGUCCCUGUCUCUUAUACA
rnacentral:rRNA from 1 species